rnacentral:rRNA from 1 species
UACGUAGGGGGCAAGCGUUGUCCGGAUUUAUUGGGCGUAAAGCGCGUGUAGGCGGCCAGGUAGGUCGGUUGUGAAAAUUGGAGGCUCAACCUCCAGACGUCGAUCGAAACCAUCUGGCUAGAGUCCGGAAGAGGAGAAUGGAAUUCCGUGGUGUAGCGGUGAAAUGCGCAGAUAUCAGGAAGAACACCGAUGGGCGAAGGCAGUUCUCUGGGGACGGUACUGACGCUGAGACGCGAAAGCGUGGGGAGCGAACA